UUUUCCUAAAAUAGGAUUGUCGAAAACCAACCUAAAGGAACAUAGAUGUGUCCUUUUUCGUCAUUUCCUCCAUGCAUCCAAACCCACCUACGAACGCGUGUGGUCUCAACUCUCAUAAAUCAAACCGAACACAAAGCGUUAAUCUUCUGUCUCUUUCUUUUUUUUUCAUUAUUAACAGCAAAACUAAAAAGAAUUUCUGUGCUUCCUUUUUUCUUAUUGUUUUACUCUCUCUCUCUCUCUCUGCUAAGUCCUCAAGAAUUCAACUAUUUUGUAUUAAUGAAAGCUACGCUCUCUCCUUCAAGGUUGGCUUUGGCACGUGGGUUUUAACGUUCGAGUUCUUCUAUGGAGAUGGAAGCUACUCUUUUGGAUAAUGACAUGGAGGGCGUGGAAGAUGAAUCUGCUGAACAAUUACUUGCUUCAUGUUCCUUUUUGGAUCAAAUUUUUGGAGAUCCACAGGUG